rnacentral:rRNA from 1 species
ACCCCAGUUCAGGCGAGGCCACCCACUGAGUUUAAGCAUAUCAUAAGCGGAGGAAAAG